GAUCCUGGCUCAGAUUGAACGCUGGCGGCAGGCCUAACACAUGCAAGUCGAGCGGUAGAGAGAAGCUUGCUUCUCUUGAGAGCGGCGGACGGGUGAGUAAUGCCUAGGAAUCUGCCUGGUAGUGGGGGAUAACGUUCGGAAACGGACGCUAAUACCGCAUACGUCCUACGGGAGAAAGCAGGGGACCUUCGGGCCUUGCGCUAUCAGAUGAGCCUAGGUCGGAUUAGCUAGUUGGUGAGGUAAUGGCUCACCAAGGCGACGAUCCGUAACUGGUCUGAGAGGAUGAUCAGUCACACUGGAACUGAGACACGGUCCAGACUCCUACGGGAGGCAGCAGUGGGGAAUAUUGGACAAUGGGCGAAAGCCUGAUCCAGCCAUGCCGCGUGUGUGAAGAAGGUCUUCGGAUUGUAAAGCACUUUAAGUUGGGAGGAAGGGUUGUAGAUUAAUACUCUGCAAUUUUGACGUUACCGACAGAAUAAGCACCGGCUAACUCUGUGCCAGCAGCCGCGGUAAUACAGAGGGUGCAAGCGUUAAUCGGAAUUACUGGGCGUAAAGCGCGCGUAGGUGGUUUGUUAAGUUGGAUGUGAAAUCCCCGGGCUCAACCUGGGAACUGCAUUCAAAACUGACUGACUAGAGUAUGGUAGAGGGUGGUGGAAUUUCCUGUGUAGCGGUGA
rnacentral:rRNA from 1 species